ACGGAAGGCAGCAGUGGGGAAUAUUGCACAAUGGGGGAAACCCUGAUGCAGCGACGCCGCGUGAGUGAUGAAGUAUUUCGGUAUGUAAAGCUCUAUCAGCAGGGAAGAUAAUGACGGUACCUGACUAAGAAGCACCGGCUAAAUACGUGCCAGCAGCCGCGGUAAUACGUAUGGUGCAAGCGUUAUCCGGAUUUACUGGGUGUAAAGGGAGCGUAGGUGGCAAGGCAAGUCUGAAGUGAAAGCUCGGGGCUCAACCCCGGAACUGCUUUGGAAACUGUUUAGCUAGAGUACAGGAGAGGAAAGCGGAAUUCCUAGUGUAGCGGUGAAAUGCGUAGAUAUUAGGAGGAACACCAGUGGCGAAGGCGGCUUUCUGGACUGACACUGACACUGAGGCUCGAAAGCGUGGGGAGCAAACAGGAUUAGAUACCCUGGUA
rnacentral:rRNA from 1 species